rnacentral:lncRNA from 1 species
ACCCCAUAUACUUAUGGUGGUGGUAUGUGAUUGUGCAUUGAACACUAUAAGGCCGUCAUAGCGAUGCAAACAGGGCAAUGGCCAAUACGAUAAUUUUCAAAUCACCUUUGUGUCCAGUCUAGUUCUGGUGUAAAAACUGCACUGCCAAUACACAGGGAAUCUUGUCGGACUGGAUGAAACUUUGGUUUGAUCCAGCACUGAUGCUCUUAUGAAUUAAAUCCAACUCCUAAGAUGCUCUGGUUCUCUUCAAACAUCUAAAUUCAACACAUUCUCGAUGUCUUCCAAGGCCAUUUAAAUGUUGCAUUGAAUAGGGUUUUUUUUGUAAGCUUUUAAUAUUGCUAAUGGGCUAAUAGACAGGUAGAAGUGUGUUAGCAAUAAAAAUGAGAUCGGGCCAAGAAUAUUAUAUUCAUGUAUCCUUCAAAUCAAACUCUCUCUUUAAGUUUUAAUUCCCACACCAUUCUCUCCCUCCAUUCCAUUUUAACAUUUCAUGAGCAAAAGAAAACUAUGAGAGGAAGCAUGGAAAAUUUAAAUUAAGCUGCACUGAUUCAAUACAAGCAGGGCCUGGAUGAAGUUGCUCAUGAAAAUUAUUGCCAUUAUCAAGAAAUGCUUUAAUUUUUCACCCCCCCUUUUUUUAGCUAAUUGGACUUGCCUAUGUGACUGAUAAAAACAACAAUAUUGUCUCUCCGUUGCCACCCUGUUGCUCUCAAUGACAUCAUAAUGUAGCCCAAAUCUGACUGGAUACAGUUCACCAUGAGGUCAUCACAUUCACUAUGUGAAUCCUGAUUGGAAUAUGGGUUCAUGUGGCAGAGUCAGGAAGGACAAAGCAUCAACAGCAGCCAGGGAGAAAUGGUGUCAUAGCAGUAGCCAUAGGAAACAGUGACAAUGAUCUGGAUGAAAAGUAGGUGAGUUUUUACGUAAUUUAGUCAUUUUCUACCCAGUGAAAUCUCUAUUUUCAAUUUGAAAACUUGGCAGCUGUGGGAUGCCAUCCAUUGAAUUUGCUCAAGUUCAAUCAAACACUUUUGGUUGUGUUGUUCAAGAUGCAUUUAUGACUGAACAAGAAACGGUAAAAGCAGAAAAUGUCAGCUGAAUACCUGCUUCUUCUGUAGGUCUUUAUAGCAAUUUUGCUAGAUUCAAGAGGCUUGUAGUUUUUGGAGAAGUUUCCAAGAAGCAUCUGUAUGGUUUUGUGAAUAAAUGAACUCAUGAACUUUUGGAGAUUAACUAGACUCUAAUAAAUAAUGUCC